UACGAAGGGGGCUAGCGUUGCUCGGAAUCACUGGGCGUAAAGCGCACGUAGGCGGAUCUUUAAGUCAGGGGUGAAAUCCUGGAGCUCAACUCCAGAACUGCCUUUGAUACUGGGGAUCUCGAGUCCGGGGGAGGUGAGUGGAACUCCGAGUGUAGAGGUGAAAUUCGUAGAUAUUCGGAAGAACACCAGUGGCGAAGGCGGCUCACUGGCCCGGUACUGACGCUGAGGUGCGAAAGCGUGGGGAGCAAACAGG
rnacentral:rRNA from 1 species